CACGUAGGGUCCGAGCGUUGUCCGGAAUUACUGGGCGUAAAGCGUGCGCAGGCGGUUCGCCAAGUCAGGUGUGAAAUCCCCGGGCUUAACCUGGGAAUUGCGCUUGAAACUAGCGGGCUUGAGUGUGGCAGAGGGGGGUGGAAUUCCACGUGUAGCAGUGAAAUGCGUAGAGAUGUGGAGGAACACCGAUGGCGAAGGCAGCCCCCUGGGUCAACACUGACGCUCAUGCACGAAAGCGUGGGGAGCAAACAGG
rnacentral:rRNA from 1 species